GCCCCUGUAGCGCAACGGAUAGCGCGCCGGUGUCCGGAGCCGGAGGCUGUAGGUUCAAAUCCUGCCAGGGGCGCCA
rnacentral:tRNA from 3 species